rnacentral:tRNA from 1 species
GUGGCCGUCGCCAAGCGGUUAAGGCCCGAGGCGGUGACCCUCGCAUGCAUGGGUUCGAAUCGCAUCGGUUACCCCA